rnacentral:piRNA from 1 species
UUCCCAAGGUGCGCGGGUACUUGAACU